UAUUUUCACAUUUCCGUCAUGCCAAACAUCCCCUUCUCUCACCUCUCUUCUACUUUUAACCCUAACCCUAGUAGCCGCCUAGGAUUUCUCCUCUCUCUCAUGCCAAAAAUGGCAAUGGCGCAGAGAAGAGCAGACUCGUUCAGUCUCUACAUGUCCAUAUGAGGUAGCAUUAAUUGCUACUCCCCAUUUCUCCGCUCAUUCUCACCAAAUGCAACCUAAGCUAGGUUAUUCUCCCCCCCCCCCCCCCCCCCCUCUCUCUCUCUCUCUCUCUCUCUCAUUUUUCAUCAUUAUUUUUCAUCUAAACCAAGUACACAAUGCAUUGAUGACCUUGGUUUGAGCUGUUUCAACUCUCGGAUCUCAUUGGUUCUUCAUGAACCGACCGGAUCGAGGGUGAAUGAUUGAGAAUCGACUAUUCAAAAUUGUUUUUUGUUAAAUCUUAGCCUAUGGUUGUUUGAUGGAAGGAUGAUUUCUCAGAAAUCACACUAGUCCCACAUCGGUUGGGGAAUUAAGGUUGGGUAUUUAAGGGUUCUAUAAAUAGAACCUCCACUUCAUUGAAUUAAAGAGAAGAAGUUCUUGAACACUCAAGCAUGCGCAAAAGCUUAAGAUUUGAGUUUUGACUCGAGUUUUGGGCUGUGCUAGUGAAAUUUUGCACUUAACUGUUUUAAAGUUUAGGUUUCUAGUUCAAAAAAAUUGAUUUUUAUCUUCUUGUGUGUGGUUGAGUUGAGGACGGGAAGCAUAAAGGAUUUCAACUCUAUUCUUGCUCGCGGCUGCGUAUCAAAAAGGGCCGAGUCAAAACCCACCGGUUGGGCCAAGGCACAACAGGAAAUUCUUUCGAAAUAUGAUCGAGUCCAACGACGAAAGGGAAGCUAAUAUUAUAAGCACACAUAAAGCCCAACCAUGGGUGAAAAUGGCCAACUAGGGGCUUGGUACGCCCCUAGCCUGCCCCUCUUUAUUUAUUCGGCAUUUUUAUCAUUCUUGGGUUUGUUGUAUUUACUUGUAAAAAACUCAUAUAUGUUAUUGAAAUCCGUAUUGUUUGAACUA